AGCUUAGUGGCACAACACACAACCAUGUCAUGUUUAUGCAGGUCAGAAAUUUGGACAGGGCACAGCUCAGGGGAGUUGGUCUCUGCUCCCUGAAGUCUGGAGCUUCUGCAAGCGAGGCCCAAACAGCUGAGAGUGCAGCUUGGAGUGAUCCUCUCACCCAUGUUCCCAGGAUUAGUCUAGGAAUGAGGUUGUGCUGGACAAGGCAGGCUGCGAUCUCUCAUUGUCAUGAUUCCUGGACGUUUCUUGGAGCAGGAAAAGGAGGAUAAAGCCAUCUAUGGCCUCGGGAGCCGAGGGCAGUCUGAUCAGGAUCAGAAAUAUUUUUAAAAGCCCCAUUUUCUCCUUGGGGCCCCGCACUGACUUCCCAGGAUGCUGAAUGUAGGACUCCAGGAGGCCUGAUUCCCCAAGAGAUGGGCCACAGAGCCAUGGGACAA
rnacentral:lncRNA from 1 species